UGGUGCCUUCGGGAACUCUGAGACAGGUGCUGCAUGGCUGUCGUCAGCUCGUGUUGUGAAAUGUUGGGUUAAGUCCCGCAACGAGCGCAACCCUUAUCCUUGUUUGCCAGCGAGUAAUGUCGGGAACGCCAGGGAGACUGCCGGUGAUAAACCGGAGGAAGGUGGGGACGACGUCAAGUCAUCAUGGCCCUUACGAGUAGGGCUACACACGUGCUACAAUGGCGCAUACAGAGGGC
rnacentral:rRNA from 1 species